rnacentral:lncRNA from 1 species
AAAGACCUCUCUGCCUGGUUUGCAGUGGCUCAGCUCCUGACAUCUGGUUUCAUCUGGACAGACCCAUUGUGAGCCAGUGCUGUCUCGAUGAGAGCCUUGUUCCCAGCCAUGAGGGUUCAGUGACAUGGUGGGGACAGGCACCCUCAUGGUGUCAGGUACCACAGGAGAGGACAAUGAUGGGAUAGGUAUCUGACCAGAGGCCACAUGGAGGACCAGAAAGAAGAGAGGGAUACUAGAGAGCAGGGAACUGCAGCCUUCAGGAAGAUGAGCAGACCACCAGGAUUGAGCCCCUGGCUGCCCACAGCCACCAAGUCCACAUAGGAAGAGCUUCGAGCUACCAGAAUAGAAUGUGUCUCUGUCCUGAAUCAUAAACUGUCCUGGGUAAAAGAUCACAAAUCUUAUGAUAAUUCAUAAGGGAAAGUGUGCGGAG